AAGACUAUACUUUCAAGGAUCAUUUAUAUAGUUUGUUACUGAUGGAGCACAUAUUUUUAAAUGGUAAGAUGGGUUUAAAUAACAGAAGAGU
rnacentral:snoRNA from 1 species